rnacentral:rRNA from 1 species
CCUGGUUGAUCCUGCCAGUAAUCAUAUGCUUGUCUCAAAGAUUAAGCCAUGCAUGUCUAAGUACAUGCCGAAAUAAGGCGAAACCGCGAAUGGCUCAUUAAAUCAGUUAUGGUUCCUUAGAUCGUUUCUUCCUACUUGGAUAACUGUGGCAAUUCUAGAGCUAAUACAUGCAGUGAGCCUGGAGCCCUUUGGGUAACGGGUGCUUUUAUUAGACCAAGAUCGAUCGGGUUUCGGCCCGUAUUGUGUGGUGACUCUGGAUAACUUUGUGCUGAUCGCAUGGCCACGAGCCGGCGACGUUUCUUUCAAGUGUCUGCCUUAUCAACUUUCGAUGGUAGGUUACUUGCUUACCAUGGUUGUUACGGGACAUCAGGGUUCGAUUCCGGAGAGGGAGCCUGAGAAACGGCUACCACAUCCAAGGAAGGCAGCAGGCGCGCAAAUUACCCACUCCCGGCACGGGGGGUAGCUGACGAACAGGAAAUAACAAUUACCGGGGACUUUUUGAGGCCCCCCCGGUAAUUGGAAAUGAUACCUCUAAAUCCUUUUUAAACGAGGAGAUCAAUGGGAGAGCAAGUUCUGUGGCAGGCAGGCCCCCGUAUUCCAGUCCAUAGCGUUACUAAAAGCUGGCUGGCGGUUAACAAGCUCGUAGUUGGAUCUCAGUUCCAGACGAGUAGUGCAUCUACCCGAUGCGACGGCUCGGACUGAACAUCAUGCCGGUUCUUUCUUGGUGCACUUCAUUGUGUGCCUCGAGAUGGCCGGUGCUUUUACUUUGAAAAAAUUAGAGUGCUCAACGCAGGCGAGUCGCCUGAAUAAACUUGCAUGGAAUAAUAGAACAAGACCUCGUUUACGUUCUGUUGGUUUUUGGAAUACGAGGUAAUGAUUAAGACGGACGGGGGCAUUCGUAUUGCGGCUCCGCUAGAGGAAAUUCUUGGACCGUCGCAAGACGAACUACUGCGAAAGCAUUUGCCAAGAAUGUUUUCAUUGAUCAAGAACGAAAGUCAGAGGUUCGAAGGCGAUCAGAUACCGCCCUAGUUCUGACCAUAAACGAUGCCAACCAGCGAUCCGCCUGAGUUACUCAAAUGACUCGGCGGGCAGCUUCCGGGAAACCAAAGUAUUUGGGUUCCGGGGGAAGUAUGGUUGCAAAGCUGAAACUUAAAGGAAUUGACGGAAGGGCACCACCAGGAGUGGAGCCUGCGGCUUAAUUUGACUCAACACGGGAAAACUUACCCGGCCCGGACACUGGGAGGAUUGACAGAUUGAGAGCUCUUUCUUGAUUCGGUGGAUGGUGGUGCAUGGCCGUUCUUAGUUGGUGGAGCGAUUUGUCUGGUUAAUUCCGAUAACGAACGAGACUCUAGCCUAUUAAAUAGGUGCGGGGUUCCCAGCACCUUACAACCUUCUUAGAGGGACAAGCGGCUCCUAGCCGCACGAAACAGAGCAAUAACAGGUCUGUGAUGCCCUUAGAUGUCCGGGGCCGCACGCGCGCUACACUGAAGGAAGCAGCGUGUCUUUAUCCCUGUCUGAAAAGACUGGGUAACCCGUGGAACUUCUUUCGUGAUUGGGAUAGGGGCUUGCAAUUGUUCCCCUUGAACGAGGAAUUCCCAGUAAGCGCGAGUCAUAAGCUCGCGUUGAUUACGUCCCUGCCCUUUGUACACACCGCCCGUCGCUACUACCGAUUGAAUGAUUUAGUGAGGUCUUCGGACCGAUGUCCGGCGCGGCCUUUCGGUUGCGCCGGUCUGUUGGAAAGAUGACCAAACUUGAUCAUUUAGAGGAAGUAAAAGUCGUAACAAGGUUUCCGUAGGUGAACCUGCGGAAG